rnacentral:rRNA from 1 species
AUUGAACGCUGGCGGCAGGCCUAACACAUGCAAGUCGAACGGUAACAGGAAGAAGCUUGCUUCUUUGCUGACGAGUGGCGGACGGGUGAGUAAUGUCUGGGAAACUGCCUGAUGGAGGGGGAUAACUACUGGAAACGGUAGCUAAUACCGCACAACGUCGCAAGACCAAAGAGGGGGACCUUCGGGCCUCUUGCCAUCGGAUGUGCCCAGAUGGGAUUAGCUAGUAGGUGGGGUAACGGCUCACCUAGGCGACGAUCCCUAGCUGGUCUGAGAGGAUGACCAGCCACACUGGAACUGAGACACGGUCCAGACUCCUACGGGAGGCAGCAGUGGGGAAUAUUGCACAAUGGGCGCAAGCCUGAUGCAGCCAUGCCGCGUGUAUGAAGAAGGCCUUCGGGUUGUAAAGUACUUUCAGCGGGGAGGAAGGGAGUAAAGUUAAUACCUUUGCUCAUUGACGUUACCCGCAGAAGAAGCACCGGCUAACUCCGUG